rnacentral:rRNA from 1 species
UACGUAGGCAGCGAGCGUUGUUCGGAGUUACUGGGCGUAAAGAGUAUGUAGGCGGUUGCGUAAGUUUGGUGUGAAAUCUCCCGGCUUAACUGGGAGGGUGCGCCGAAAACUGCGGAGCUAGAGUGUGGGAGAGGAAAGCGGAAUUCCUGGUGUAGCGGUGAAAUGCGCAGAUAUCAGGAGGAACACCGGUGGCGAAGGCGGGUCUCUGGGCCGAUACUGACGCUGAGGAGCGAAAGCGUGGGGAGCGAACAGG